rnacentral:rRNA from 1 species
GAUGAACGCUGGCGGCGUGCCUAAUACAUGCAAGUCGAGCGAACGGACGAGAAGCUUGCUUCUCUGAUGUUAGCGGCGGACGGGUGAGUAACACGUGGAUAACCUACCUAUAAGACUGGGAUAACUUCGGGAAACCGGAGCUAAUACCGGAUAAUAUUUUGAACCGCAUGGUUCAAAAGUGAAAGACGGUCUUGCUGUCACUUAUAGAUGGAUCCGCGCUGCAUUAGCUAGUUGGUAAGGUAACGGCUUACCAAGGCAACGAUGCGUAGCCGACCUGAGAGGGUGAUCGGCCACACUGGAACUGAGACACGGUCCAGACUCCUACGGGAGGCAGCAAUAGGGAAUCUUCCGCAAUGGGCGAAAGCCUGACGGAGCAACGCCGCGUGAGUGAUGAAGGUCUUCGGAUCGUAAAACUCUGUUAUUAGGGAAGAACAUAUGUGUAAGUAACUGUGCACAUCUUGACGGUACCUAAUCAGAAAGCCACGGCUAACUACGUG